GACGAACGCUGGCGGCGUGCUUAACACAUGCAAGUCGAACGGAAAGGCCCCUUUGGGGGUACUCGAGUGGCGAACGGGUGAGUAACACGUGAGUAACCUGCCCUUGACUUCGGGAUAACUUCAGGAAACUGGGGCUAAUACCGGAUAGGAAUCCUUGCUGCAUGGUGGGGGUUGGAAAGCUUCGGCGGUUUCGGAUGGACUCGCGGCUUAUCAGCUUGUUGGUGGGGUAGUGGCUUACCAAGGCUUUGACGGGUAGCCGGCCUGAGAGGGCGACCGGCCACAUUGGGACUGAGAUACGGCCCAGACUCCUACGGGAGGCAGCAGUGGGGAAUAUUGCACAAUGGGCGGAAGCCUGAUGCAGCAACGCCGCGGGCGGGAUGACGGCCUUCGGGUUGUAAACCGCUUUCAGCAGGGGCGAAGCUUGUGGUGACGGUACCUGCAGAAGAAGCACCGGCUAACUACGUG
rnacentral:rRNA from 1 species